UUAAGUUCAGCGGGUAUCCCUACCUGAUCCGAGGUCAACCUUAAAAAAUUGGGGUUGUUGGCAAGCACAAUCAAGACCCUAUAGCGAGAAAAAUUACUACGCGUAGAGCUUAAGAGCACCGCCACUGGUUUUAAGAGAGGCCAGAAUUGGCCACCUCCAAGUCCACCACAGGGGUGAUUUGGUCAUUAUGACGCUCGAAC
rnacentral:misc_RNA from 1 species